CUAACCUCCCACCCGUGAAUACCUGACCAACGUUGCUUCGGCGGUGCGCCCCCCCGGGGGUAGCCGCCGGAGACCACACCGAACCUCCUGUCUUUAGUGUUGUCUGAGCUUGAUAGCAAACCUAUUAAAACUUUCAACAAUGGAUCUCUUGGUUCCGGCAUCGAUGAAGAACGCAGCGAACUGCGAUAAGUAAUGUGAAUUGCAGAAUUCAGUGAAUCAUCGAGUCUUUGAACGCACAUUGCGCCCCCUGGCAUUCCGGGGGGCAUGCCUGUCCGAGCGUCAUUGCUGCCCUUCAAGCCCGGCUUGUGUGUUGGGUCGUCGUCCCCCCCGGGGGACGGGCCCGAAAGGCAGCGGCGGCACCGCGUCCGGUCCUCGAGCGUAUGGGGCUUUGUCACCCGCUCGAUUAGGGCCGGCCGGGCGCCAGCCGGCGUCUCCAACCUUCUAUUUUACCAGGUUG
rnacentral:misc_RNA from 1 species